GGCCAGAAGAUGCAGGCGUUCAGGAACUGUAAUGAGCGAUCUAUUUAAGAAAGUUCACGAACGACUCCGGGCUUUGAUUCGCUCGAGUCAUAAAGGGAAAAUGCAGAAACAUUACAGGUGGCUGGACAGUCUCUUACAACACGUUCAAAAUCGUGUAUUAGUAAGAAUACAAUUUGCCAACGAUGGCAGUAAGUCAAACAAUGAAGUGAAGCAAGGCUUUGAAAAACUACAGCGAUUCGUUUUGGAGUCGAAAAAGAUGAAGGAGGAAUUAAAGCAACAAGCAUACGCACGGUGUACGCACAUGGUGCUGCUGAUUGAAACACACCUGAAUUAAAAGACUGUUAAAAGGGAUAUCAAGUGUAGAUUCUAUGCCAAUAUCAACAUGAACCUUUCCAAUGAUAACAUCAACGAGAUCAGAGCCAAGGGGAAGAGGUAUAUUCAAGGUAUUAUAUUAGAAGAAAUACAGAAAAGAAAUGGGAACUAGACUCUAAACACUACCGACGCACUGUUUCAAUGCUAAACGCGGAAUUCGAAAAGAAAUUUCAAUCAUUGCAAGAAGAGUUUGAAGACGUUGAACGACUUAUUCCUAUUUCGAACGAUCCCGAUGUCAAAGAGUCUGAUGGAAUAGAAGACGACUAUUUACCAACUGGUAGUAAGGUCUUAAUUGCGAUGAGAGCUGCAUUAUGGAUACCGCUAGGUAUUGUGGCCGACUUAGUUUUUAUCCCGAUUGACAUUUUAUCACAUGUAAAUGAUGAAAGAAAAUUAAAAGAAUUUCUGGAAGAUAGGUCACCGUUCAUAAAAAAAUGGUGGAAGGAAUCUCAGAACGAAUUCUUGAAAAAGAAAUCAAUUGACAAAUGUGUUUUUGCCAAUUAUGCUACCAUCUUAAUGAAACAUAUUGUUUCCGUGUCAAUUAAGGCAGAUAUGGUGCUUCUUGAGUCCAUUUUAAAUGACAAACGGGAACCAAGCGAGAUCAUUGAGGAAUUUACGGAUAUAAAGACGAUCGUGCAAGAUCACAUUGCUUCAUUGAGAUUAUUUGAGCUUCAAUAUCUUGCCAUCGAUAGCGUUAACUGUGUGGACAGUUUUGAUUGAUUAAUAUUAUGGUAUGUUUCCCGUUUUAAAGUAACAACCGUAUAUGCAUACACACUUUUAUACUGAAGUGUUUUUGCAAAUUUAACUUAAUACAGUCAAGAGCGCACCGAACAAUAAUUCGCAUAAAGUGUAUACCAAUAAUUUUUGUAAGAACACACACUUUGCAGAAUAUUUAGAAUCAUAAUGAAGAAUUUUCACUGUCGUGUUGUAAUACAAAUGUACAUGCACAACUGAAAAAAUGUCUGCAUGUAUGAAUAGAAAAAAAAUAAAUACUUGCUUGUCUUUAAUUGUAUAGUGCUCAUGCUUACUUUAUUUCGUUUUUUGUUACUACUAAAAUCAAACACAUACCUGUACUGAUUUAUAAUAAGUCCAAGCAUACAAUUUGAAAUGGUAUAGCAUACUGUUAACACAAGUACACCUUUUAAAUAUUUAAGCUUUCAUCCAGGCUAUUUUCUCGAAAAUCUAUUAAUUACCGAGAAUAGCGCCCAUUUUCUUUAUAUUAAGAAAGUGUAUGUGAUUUUUUUCUCCGACUUGAAACGAAACCAUUUACCGCACCUAAUACGAUAUAUAUGUUUCGUAAAAUGUUUUGUCGUUUAAUUAUGUCUAAUUACAAACCUUUUUGGAAAUUAUAACAGGCUCGUAUAUAUGGCUUAAUUGUGAAAAUUCAUGUUACAUACUUAGUUAUAUCAUGAUUAGUACAAUUAUUUAAAGCGAUCGUUAUGAAUUAUAUGUGUGAGUUCUGUG